UGAUGUUCAGUUGAUGUCCAACUAGAUUGAAGUCCACUACAAUUUGAAGCAAAAUAGGUGAACCAAAAUAUGCCAAUAAAAAUAUUUCAAUAAAUUCAAUUUCAAAUCUAAUCCUAAUAUCUUCCAUAAAAAAUAGAUCCUACAACAUACAAUUUUGCAUUGUGUAGUCACUUUUUGUUAAGAUUUGCCUAAAUAAUUAAAGAGGUGAUACAUCCAAGACAGAUAGCAUUUGUAAGUUUUAUUUAACUCCACAAGUCAAGGGUGAAUGUCAACUGCAGAA
rnacentral:misc_RNA from 1 species